CAGUUGCAGAAAACCCGAAGGAUGCUGGCCAAUCAGAGCAGACUGGGCUUUUUCCAGUGGGGGACUUAAAGAGACCGGCCCUCCUAGAGAGCAUAUUGUACAGAGGGUGACUACAGGUGC